UCAGAUUGAGGUCUGCAACUCGACCUCAUGAAGGCGGAAUCGCUAGUAAUCGUGGAUCAGCAUGCCACGGUGAAUACGUUCCCGGGCCUUGUACACACCGCCCGUCACACCACGAAAGUUAUUUGUACCCAAAGUUGUUUUAGCUAACCUUUUAGGAGGCGAGCACCUAAGGUAUGGGUAAUGAUUGGGGUGAAGUCGUAACAAGGUAGCUGUAGGAGAACCUGCGGCUGGAUCACCUCCUUUCGAGGGA
rnacentral:rRNA from 1 species